AUUGAACGCUGGCGGCAUGCCUUACACAUGCAAGUCGAACGGCAGCACGGGGCAACCUGGUGGCGAGUGGCGAACGGGUGAGUAAUGCAUCGGAACGUACCUUUCAGUGGGGGAUAACGUAGCGAAAGUUACGCUAAUACCGCAUAUUCUGUGAGCAGGAAAGCAGGGGAUCGCAAGACCUUGCGCUGAUUGAGCGGCCGAUGUCAGAUUAGCUAGUUGGUGAGGUAAAGGCUCACCAAGGCGACGAUCUGUAGCGGGUCUGAGAAGAUGAUCCGCCACACUGGAAAUGAGACACGGUCCAGACUCCUACGGGAGGCAGCAGUGGGGAAUUUUGGACAAUGGGGGCAACCCUGAUCCAGCCAUGCCGCGUGAGUGAAGAAGGCCUUCGGGUUGUAAAGCUCUUUCGGCCGGGAAGAAAUCGCACGGGCUAAUACCCUGUGUGGAUGACGGUACCGGAAUAAGAAGCACCGGCUAACUACGUGCCAGCCGCCGCAGUAACAC
rnacentral:rRNA from 1 species